GUGUCAGCAGCCGCGGUAAUACGGAGGGAGCUAGCGUUGUUCGGAAUUACUGGGCGUAAAGCGUACGUAGGCGGCUUGGUAAGUCAGAGGUGAAAGCCCACGACUCAAUCGUGGAACUGCCUUUGAGACUGCUUCGCUUGAAGAUGGGAGAGGUUAGUGGAAUUCCGAGUGUAGAGGUGAAAUUCGUAGAUAUUCGGAAGAACACCAGUGGCGAAGGCGGCUAACUGGACCAUUCUUGACGCUGAGGUACGAAAGCGUGGGGAGCAAACAGGAUUAGAAACCCUUGUAGUCC
rnacentral:rRNA from 1 species